AUGGAUUGGUUGGAGAAGAACAGCCCGAUGACUUGUCACUGGCAAGAGAAGUUCAUUUCCUUCGACCACGAUGGCGAGACGGUCACCCUGCAAGGUGUUCGACCCAAGACGACACCCACUCUCGCUGCCGUGCAGCCGGCGGAACUCUGCAAACUGAUUGCCGGCAAUGACAUCUGGGCAAUGGCUAUGGUGGAAAUGCAACCCCCAAGACCCAAGCCACGCAAGCCGUCUCAGACGCCCAUAAGUGACUUACUGGAAGAAUUUGCAGAUGUCUUCGCGGCACCUACUGGCCUGCCCCCGCACCGGCAAUAUGACCAUGCCGUCAUCCUGGAAGACGGAGCCCAGCCAACAAACACUCGUCCUUACCACUACUCUCCUCUGCAAAAGGACGAGAUCGAGCGGCAGGUGAAGGAAAUGCUCGACGCCGGUGUGAUCACCCACUCGGUCAGUCCAUACGCCGCGUCGGUGCUUCUGGUGAAGAAAAAGGAUGGCACCUGGCGAUUCUGCAUGGACUACCGACGCCUCAAUGAAGUGACAGUGAAGAACAAGUUUCCGCUGCCCAUCGUCGACGAGCUACUCGAUGAGCUGGCCGGCACGGCAUACUUCUCCAAGCUCGAUUUGCGUGCAGGCUACCAUCAAAUCCGGAUGCCUGAGGACGACGAGCACAAGACGGCGUUCAAAACACACCACGGCCAUUUUCAGUUCCGGGUUAUGCCGUUCGGAUUGACAAACGCUCCGGCGACAUUCCAGUGCCUGAUGAAUGCCAUCUUCGCCAAAUACACCCAGUUGAGAAAGAACUGCAUGUCCUGGGAUGUCGCCACGUCUAUUGGUCUUUGUUUUCUGUUCAACGCCGAAGAAUCACGUCACAGUAAGUCAACCAAGUCAUUGAAUACAAGAAUUCUUCAGAAAUACUGCUCACCAUAG
rnacentral:rRNA from 1 species